CUUUAGAAUGACAUCAUCGUGCCUUACACUUUAGCAGCAGAUCAGCUUUCCAAACAAUAACAAAUCUCGCUUGUCUGUUAGUUUGUGUUUACUGUUGCUAUGGUGAUUCAGUGUUUGCAAGGGAGUGAGAGAAGAUUGAGAGAAAAAGCGUCAUUUGUAUAUGAGAGUGAAAUCUGCACACGAGUGCCACCUGGAGUUUUCCUGGGUUUUCGCUUUGAUUUUGAGUGAUUUCCUUGGUGAGUUUGUGUUUAUUUUUGUUUUCAUUUUAACAUGAUUUCAAGUAGUGUCAAAAAUGUGGUAUUUGAGGAAUGUUAUGAUCAAUGUGUGUAUAUAUGUUAAGUAAAUGUGCAUAUGAAGCGUGUACAUAUGAGAUUUAUUGUUAAAGACAUUCUAUUAAUUGAUAUUUGCCUUGUGUUUUGCAAGGCUGGGUUUUUUGUGUGUGUCGAAGCAUCUGUGAUGAGUCCCUAAUUCACGUUGGACUCGAGGAGAAACUUACGGCGAGCCACCCACGGAACCGACUCUCCUGUUAGAAUGUGUGUUUGUGCCACCAGACUGGUAGGAGAGUUCUUUUGAUUGUUUGGAGAAACGAGACUCGGACUCAUCGCGACCUUCCGGUUUUCCUUCUUACUUUUCCUAAAAUCCUCAACGGAAAACCUUUACUGGAACUGAGCUAAGAGAAUCAACAGUUCUCUUUCACGAAAUCCUUGGUAUUGAACUGUGAACGGCAAACGGUGGAACGAAUCAUCCAAAAGCGAAACAAAUCUUUUGGACAGCAAACCAAAUCUUUUGAGUAGCGAACGAUUCAUUUGAACAGAGUAACGAUCUUUUGAACAGGGAGGUGAUUCAUUUGAACCGUGUAUUGAUUCUUUGAACAGAGAGGUGAUUUAUUUCAGCAGAUUAAUGAUUUAUUGAGUUAAAAGUGUGAAUAUUGAAUUAUAGCCUGCAUUUGACUAGAGUUGGUAUAUUUAUUAUUGAUUUAUUUCUUUAUUUUCUUUUAUUUAUUACAUUUGAGAACACAGAGUAUUUUUUAUCACAAUUUAUUGCCUUCUUUACUUUGUUUUAUACAAAGGGUAGCACAGUGUUGUAGCUUUCUAGGAUUUUUAUUUUCAUUUUGUACUAGUGUUUGAAAUUUCUCAACUGUCUUGAUCACAACUUUGUUGUAACUGUAUACUGACUUCACGUUCAUCUGUGUAAAGAAAAAAAAGAGAAAAUUAUUUACUUUUCAUUAUUAUAAUUUAUAAUCGAACCUAUAUAUACAUAAAUACUUAUGCUUAUUGGACAGAAAUUCACAAACUCAUAACAUAUUUCUAAUUAUAUAAACUAUAUUGAAGGAAAAAA